GAUGAAGAACGUAGUGAAAUGCGAUAAGUAAUGUGAAUUGCAGAAUUCAGUGAAUCAUCGAGUCUUUGAACGCACAUUGCGCCCCCUGGUAUUCCGGGGGGCAUGCCUGUCCGAGCGUCAUUGCUGCCCUCAAGCACGGCUUGUGUGUUGGGCCCCGCCCCCCGGCUCCCGGGGGGCGGGCCCGAAAGGCAGCGGCGGCACCGCGUCCGGUCCUCGAGCGUAUGGGGCUUCGUCACCCGCUCCGUAGGCCCGGCCGGCGCCCGCCGGCGACCCCCCUCAAUCUUUUCAGGUUGACCUCGGAUCAGGUAGGGAUACCCGCUGAACUUAAGCAUAUCAAUAAGCGGAGGA
rnacentral:misc_RNA from 1 species